UACGAAGGGGGCUAGCGUUGCUCGGAAUCGCUGGGCGUAAAGGGUGCGUAGGCGGGUCUUUAAGUCAGGGGUGAAAUCCUGGAGCUCAACUCCAGAACUGCCUUUGAUACUGAGGAUCUUGAGUUCGGGAGAGGUGAGUGGAACUGCGAGUGUAGAGGUGAAAUUCGUAGAUAUUCGCAAGAACGCCAGUGGCGAAGGCGGCUCACUGGCCCGAUACUGACGCUGAGGCACGAAAGCGUGGGGAGCAAACAGG
rnacentral:rRNA from 1 species